UUCCGGUUGAUCCUGCCGGACCCGACCGCUAUCGGGGUGGGGCUAAGCCAUGCGAGUCGUACGCCCGGGGACCGCCGGGCGUGGCGCACGGCUCAGUAACACGUGCCUAACCUACCCUCGGGAGGGGGACAACCCCGGGAAACUGGGGCUAAUCCCCCAUAGGGGAAGGGUGCUGGAAGGCCCCUUCCCCGAAAAGGACUGCGGUUGAUCUACCGCAAUCCGCCCGAGGAUGGGGGCACGGCCCAUCAUGGUAGUUGGCGGGGUAACGGCCCGCCAAGCCGAAGACGGGUGGGGGCCGUGAGAGCGGGAGCCCCGAGAUGGGCACUGAGACAAGGGCCCAGGCCCUACGGGGUGCAGCAGGCGCGAAAACUCCGCAAUGCGGGAAACCGUGACGGGGCCACCCCGAGUGCCGCCCGAAGAGGGCGGCUUUUGCCCGGUGCAAAAAGCCGGGCGAAUAAGCGGGGGGCAAGUCUGGUGUCAGCCGCCGCGGUAAUACCAGCCCCGCGAGUGGUCGGGGUGCUUACUGGGCCUAAAGCGCCCGUAGCCGGCCCGGUAAGUCGCCCCUGAAAUCCACGGGCUCAACCCGUGGGCUGGGGGCGAUACUACCGGGCUUGGGGGCGGGAGAGGCCGAGGGUACUCCCGGGGUAGGGGCGAAAUCCGAUAAUCCCGGGAGGACCACCAGUGGCGAAGGCGCUCGGCUGGAACGCGCCCGACGGUGAGGGGCGAAAGCUGGGGGAGCAAAGGGGAUUAGAUACCCCUGUAGUCCCAGCUGUAAACUAUGCGGGCUAGCUGUUGGGCGGGCUUAGGGCCCGCCCAGUGGCGGAGGGAAGCCGUUAAGCCCGCCGCCUGGGGAGUACGGCCGCAAGGCUGAAACUUAAAGGAAUUGGCGGGGGGGCACCACAAGGGGUGAAGCUUGCGGCUUAAUUGGAUUCAACGCCGGG
rnacentral:rRNA from 1 species